CAUGCGAGUAGAGAAUUAGAUUCUUUGCGAACUGCUCAGUAACACGUGGAUAACCUGCCCUAUGCUCUGGAAUAACCUCGGGAAACUGAGAAUAAUACCGGAUAGAUCACAACGCCUGGAACGGUGUGUGGUUGAAAGAUUACGGCAUAGGAUGGGUCUGCGGCGUAUCAGGUUGUAGGGGGUGUAACGGACCUCCUAGCCAUCGACGCGUACGGGUGUUGGGAGACAUAGCCCGGAGAUGGAUUCUGAGACACGAAUCCAGACCCUACGGGGGUGCAGCAGGCGCGAAAACUUCACACUGCAGGAAACUGUGAUGGAGGGAACUCCAAGUGCCGCGCACUUAGUGUGCGCUUUUUGUUGACUUAUUAAUCGGGUCAUGAAUAAGGCCUGGGAAAAGAACCGGGUGCCAAGCCGGCCGGGGUAAUUACCGGGCAGGCUCAAGUUGGUCUUCCGCUUUUUUUGGGGCCUAAAACCGUUCGUGUAGCCUGGUUUUGGAAAACCCUGGGGUAAAUCCACCCGGCUUACUGGGUGGAAUUUCGGCAGAAUGCCAGACAUAGGACCGGAAGGUGUGGUACUCUAGGGGUAGGGUAAAUCUGUCUCUUAAGACCCAGUUCGAAGGC
rnacentral:rRNA from 1 species